ACGACAUCUUUGCACUCAGCAGGCAGGCUGGUGCAGCCCGUGGUGGGGGACCGUCCCGCUGGCUGUGGGGUAAGGACGGCUGU
ensembl:miRNA